AGCCCAUGGUGAGGGCACCUUCUCAACAGAUCCUUGUAUCUCUCACAAUCAUCGUAGAGUGUUUCUUGAUCCAUCUGCACAAAAAAAUAGAUAUCAUUCUUUAAUUU
rnacentral:snoRNA from 1 species